CUUGAGGUACAGAGGAUAGUGAGAGAGAUGGCGAUCGAAGAUUGCAGAGCAUGGCCUCACUUGAUCUUCUGGGAAGAGCUGGAAAACGAUGGCGAGGAAUCAAUAUCAGAGAUAAAUGGCGCUAAUACUGGUUCCUCCUCCUUCGCAUCCAGCUCUUCUAUGAGAAUCAAGUGAUGUAUUUCGUCCAAAUAUCUAGAGUAUGUGGUCGUUUGUUGCUUGAUUUAUGGAGGAAGAAGUUGCAUUCUAAGCAUUUUCAAUAUGUACUGUAUGCAACUUCUUCUUUCAUAAACCAUGCCCCAAGCUACCCCUCCUGAUACGAUGGACAGCAAUUCGUCGUUGAAAUUGAGAGUCUACCGCAUCUGUUCUAAGAUGUGGUCUGGCGAUCCAAAAUUUAUUUGAUCAGAUUAUAUUGAAGAUGAUUCCUCCUCAUAGGUCAUGACCCUGUGACUAUGAGAUGCACCUACAGUUAAAAUAUUACACAUUUUAAUAUUUCGUUUUGAAUGUAAUUUGUUUAUUUGGAAUUUGAAAAUGAUGUAGAUAGUGGUUGAGGUUGCUUGUUAUAUAUAAUUCAACAAAAGAAUUGAUCAGUCUCUUUUAUUGUUUCCUUAGAGAAGAAGCAAUGAUGUGUUAGACUGAUUUCUUUAAUAGGACUCUUAAACUUUGUAAAGAGAAAAAAACAAGUUUUGGCACAGAUUGGACAAGAAUACUAAUAAACUUGAUCAGGUUCUUCAUAGCCUUUUCUUUUUCUUCCUACCCUCAACUGUGCGCUAAAGAUACUUCCUGCCAUCGAGAAGCUUCUAUUAAUUGUUAACUAGCAAGUUCAUAACCAACACUUAAUUGCGAGACUUCUUGUACCUAGAGUAAGUUCUUCUAUUGUGUUCCUUUCUUUUUUCCUUAUUACAACGAGAAAAGAGGCCUUGAUGGUCUAAUUCCUUUUUUUUUUUUUUUUUUUAUUAUUAUUAUUAAUUUCAAAUGUAGUUAAGUUAUGGACAACAAUUGGAUGAUCAUCUAGACAGUCAUUAGAGUAUAUUGAUGGUGUUAACGAGUUUUUGAGGCUUGCGUGUAACAACUCAACUACAAAUGGGUCAAUUAAGUGCCCAUGUAAGAGGUGUGGCAUUCGCAAGACAUUAAUGCUCGGUGUGGUAUACGACCAUUUGAGACAUUAAUGCUCAGUGUGGUAUACGACCAUUUGAUUAGUUGGGGGAUUUUGCAAGGUUACACCUGUUGGUAUGCUCAUGGGGAACGGGUUUUGACUAGUACUAGUCGAGCUACUAACAUUCCAGUUAAUAGGGUGCCGAUACAUGAAAGCUCCACAAUGGUCUCGGUGAGUCGUCUAAAAAGGCGAAAAGAAAACCGGAGAAGGUAAGUCAUUGAAGAUUGCAAAUGUUGUUUAUGUCAUUGAAGACUGCUUCACGCAUGAAGUGGCAUGCUAAUGUUCGAACAAAUGAUGAGGUACUAAGGCAUCUGACCGUUGAUCUAGCCUGGAAGUCAAAUGAUUCACAAUACUAAGAUUUUGCCUCUAGCCUCUUCAAUGUCAGGCUUGGGUUAGUAUUAUAUAGAUUUAAUCAUUUUGGCAACAUGAGCACUACUCACUGUACUUGGUCAAUUAUAUUGGUACUAUACAAUUUUCCUCCUUUGAUAUGCAUGCAACAAUCAUCUUUCAUGUUAUUCUUGAUUAUUUCAAGCCCAAGUUCACCUUCAUUCAAGAUAGAUAUGUACCGAGAGCUUCUAAUAUCAUAAUUGAAGGAAUUAUGGGAUGUCAAAUGUGUCCUCCAAAAAGACAUUUAGGAUACGUGUGGCCUUGAUUUGGACAAUAAAUGAUUUUCUUACGUAUAGUGAUUUGUUUGUGGGGAGUACGAAAUGUUUUGCUUGUCCUUGUUGUAUGGGUAAUACACAAUUUAAGUGGUUAAAACAUGGAAACAAAUUUUGUUAUGCAAGGCAUAGAUGCCCAGGUGAUGUUUUAUGUGUAGUAUAAGCUGUAUUCUUGUUGUAAGUUUCAGAAUUGCGUGUAGAUGUGAAACAUGUUUUGAAGGUAAUGAUCUGAUUGAGGAUGAGGAAGACGAGGGUGAGGGUGAAGAUGAAGAAGAUGAGGAUGCAGAUGACGAGGAGGUGAGUUCUCUAGCCUUUUCAAGUAUUUUAAAACUAAAGGACUUUAGUAACAGCCUACACAACUAUAGGGUAAUAGUGAUUUUGAUUUCUUUUUCCAUUUUUAUGUAUAUUGCUAGAUUUGGCACAUAUUGCUGUCUUUUGAUUGGGAGUUGUAAAUUCCUUGGUUUUGCCGGUUUAGCAAGUGAGAUUUGCAAUGUUCUUUUGUAAUUAGAAUAAGAUUGGUCUUGGUGGAGACUUUACUAAUUUACUAUUGUAUGGAUGUUUACUAACUUACUAUAGAAAUCAAUAUCGAAUCUGCUAUUUUGCACCUUGCACUGUUAUAUUAUGGUAUUAGUAGAAAAACCACUGUUAAGCCUAACAAAUGGUGAAAAGUGAAAACCAUAAUAAUGACAACAAUAGUAAACUAAUAAAUAAAAAGAAACCUAAAGCAAGAGCAACAAUUUGCAUAAUGAGUUUCUUCUCUCGUAAGGCUACAAGAAGUGGGAGAGUUUAAGCCAUUUAAUUGGCAUAAGCAAAAUGAUACAAAUUCUGAAAGGCGAUUACAAGACAAUGAUAUUAGAUUAGGAUAAGAAUCCAAGGAAGAUCUUGUUUAAUUAACAUUUAGUGUCUUUUACACAGUGCCAUCAUUAGCUUUUCUUUCCUGCUCCCUCCCCAACUUCACAUUCAAGGACAAAAAAGAUAUAUGAUGAGUAAAGAAAUAAUACUUUAAGUCAGAAGUGGAAACCAUUAUGGGUCAAAUGAGUUGAUCAUCCAUCUCAAUGUGAAGUCCAAUAAUUUGUCUUGUAAGAUUCUAAAGCUACAUUCUUCAAAUGAAUCAAGAUAUUAUAUUUCUUUGAUCUUCUCCUUUUGUUUUGUUUUUUUUUUUAUUAGAAAACAUUUUGACGUUAUUGAUCAAGCUGGCUCUAUAGUAGCUUGCAAUAUAUAUAUAUGCCUGCAUCCAUAACUAUUUUUGCCUUUGGUGGCUUAAAAACAACCAUAGUUUCACCAUCUACAAGUCUCUAUAAACAGUACAACUUAAAAUUUCUACAGGGAUUCAUGCAUUUUAGCUCGAAUACAUGUGAGACCUGUCUAGAUAAUGACCUUUGUUUUAACGUCGUAUUAAGAUAUUUAGAACUUGGUUUGGUAAGCUUACAUACAUGAUCGAAUCUGUGACAGUUAAAAGCGAUCUUGUGCACAUGUUUUGUUGGUGUAUUUGCAAGUUAAAAAUUUCUUAUUGUUAGUGUUUUGAAACUGUUUUCUUUUUUAUACCCAAUCGUGCUAUUGUUUGUGAGUAUGUUUUUCUUGUUGGAGUGUUUAUGGCUAAGUAAAGAGGAACUAUGAUGGAGUUACUUUGCAAACUCGGAUCUUCUCAGUGGCUGGCAUGGGUAUUAAUUUGUAAUGUACUUGUUUUGUAACUUUUUAGAAUUUUCAAUCAGAUUCGAUUGUCUCCUAGUAGUUUGGGUCGUUUUGUUCUACUAAACUUCUUAUAGCUGUAUUUUUACCUUAUUGGGGAUUUCAUCGUUCCAUAUUACCUGUUCUAGUAU